GAAACACUGAAAUACCUUGGCCUUAUAGGACUUAUUUCUUCAGAUAUAUUGAGAAAUUCAACUGAAAAAUUGUUGAGGCUGUUUUAGUAUCAUUAGCAAUGGUCCUAGUUCAACAAGUCACCAAAAAUGCCAAGGCAAUGGUACCAUUUCUAAAACCCAUAUGGGCAUUUGGUAUUGCAUUCUCUGUUACUGGCUACCUUAUAUGGAAAAUACCAAUAUCAGAAGAAACAAAAGCAAACUCUAAAUACUACAACCCAGGCCAUGACGACCACUGAAGUUCUAUCAUAAUAACU